rnacentral:rRNA from 1 species
UACGUAGGGGGCAAGCGUUGUCCGGAUUUAUUGGGCGUAAAGAGCUCGUAGGUGGUUCGGUAAGUCGGAUGUGAAAUCUCCAGGCUCAACCUGGAGGGGUCAUUCGAUACUGCCGUGACUAGAGGUCGGUAGGGGAGUGUGGAAUUCCGCGUGUAGCAGUGAAAUGCGUAGAGAUGCGGAGGAACACCGAUGGCGAAGGCAGCCCCCUGGGCCAACACUGACGCUCAGGCACGAAAGCGUGGGGAGCAAACAGG